ACACAUGCAAGUCGAACGAUCCCGCAAGGGAGAGUGGCGGAAGGGUGAGUAACACGUAGGAAUCUACCCCGACGGAGGGAACAACCUAUCGAAAGAUGGGCUAAUACCCAAAAGGAUCCGUAAUGAUCAGAGUCGAAAGGCCUGUCGGGAUGAGCCUGCGGCGCAUCAGCUAGUUGGUGAGGUAAAAGCUUACCAAGGCUACGACGCGUAGGGGGUCUGAGAGGACGUCCCCCCACACUGGAACUGAAACACGGUCCAGACGCCUACGGGUGGCAGCAGUGAGGAAUAUUCGUCAAUGGGGGAAACCCUGAACGAGCAACGCCGCGUGGAGGAUGAAGGCUUUCGGGUCGUGAACUCCUUUUCAGGGAGACGAGAAAGGACGGUAUCCCUGGAAUAAGUCACGGCUAACUACGUGCCAGCAGCCGCGGUAAUACGUAGGUGACGAGCGUUAUCCGGAUUUACUGGGCGUAAAGCGCUUGUAGGUGGUUUUGUAAGUUGGACGUUAAAUCUCCAGGCUCAACUUGGAGAGGCCGUUCAAUACUGCAAGACUAGAGGAUGUCAGAGGAAGGUGGAAUUCCAGGUGUAGUAGUGAAAUGCGUAGAUAUCUGGAGGAACACCCAUGGCGAAGGCAGCCUUCUGGGACAUUCCUGACACUGAGAAGCGAAAGCUAGGGGAGCAAACAGGAUUAGAAACCCUGGUAGUCCUAGCUGUAAACGAUGAAUACUAGGUGUUGGUGGCUUUAACCCCACCAGUGCCGAAGCUAACGCGUUAAGUAUUCCGCCUGGGAAGUACGAUCGCAAGAUUAAAACUCAAAGGAAUUGACGGGGACCCGCACAAGCAGCGGAGCGUGUGGUUUAAUUCGAUGCUACACGAAGAACCUUACCCAGACUUGACAUAUAGGUAGUAGUGAACCGAAAGGGGAACGACCCGCAAGGAGCCUAUACAGGUGUUGCAUGGCUGUCGUCAGCUCGUGUCGUGAGAUG
rnacentral:rRNA from 1 species